AACGAACGCUGGCGGCAUGCCUAACACAUGCAAGUCGAACGAGAUCUUCGGGUCUAGUGGCGCACGGGUGCGUAACGCGUGGGAAUCUGCCCUUUGGUUCGGAAUAACAGUUGGAAACGACUGCUAAUACCGGAUGAUGACGAAAGUCCAAAGAUUUAUCGCCAGAGGAUGAGCCCGCGUAGGAUUAGCUAGUUGGUGUGGUAAAGGCGCACCAAGGCGACGAUCCCCAGCUGGUCUGAGAGGAUGAUCAGCCACACUGGGACUGAGACACGGCCCAGACUCCUACGGGAGGCAGCAGUGGGGAAUAUUGGACAAUGGGCGAAAGCCUGAUCCAGCAAUGCCGCGUGAGUGAUGAAGGCCUUAGGGUUGUAAAGCUCUUUUACCCGGGAUGACAAUGACAGUACCGGGAGAAUAAGCUCCGGCUAACUCCGUGCCAGCCGCCGCAGUAACAC
rnacentral:rRNA from 1 species